rnacentral:rRNA from 1 species
UCCAGAGGUCUCAAGCGUUGUUCGGAUUCAUUGGGCGUAAAGGGUGCGUAGGUGGCGCGGUAAGUCGGGUGUGAAAUUUCGGAGCUUAACUCCGAAACUGCAUUCGAUACUGCCGUGCUUGAGGACUGGAGAGGAGACUGGAAUUUACGGUGUAGCAGUGAAAUGCGUAGAGAUCGUAAGGAAGACCAGUGGCGAAGGCGGGUCUCUGGACAGUUCCUGACACUGAGGCACGAAGGCCAGGGGAGCAAACGGG